rnacentral:pre_miRNA from 1 species
UUUAAGGCAUCCACACUAUUGUUUUCCUGUUUCUCUUUCUUCUUCAUUAUUAUUGUGUGGAUGCCCUGAAAG